GACGAACGCUGGCGGCGUGCUUAACACAUGCAAGUCGAACGGAAAGGCCCUGCUUUUGUGGGGUGCUCGAGUGGCGAACGGGUGAGUAACACGUGAGUAACCUGCCCUUGACUUUGGGAUAACUUCAGGAAACUGGGGCUAAUACCGGAUAGGAGCUCCUGCUGCAUGGUGGGGGUUGGAAAGUUUCGGCGGUUGGGGAUGGACUCGCGGCUUAUCAGCUUGUUGGUGGGGUAGUGGCUUACCAAGGCUUUGACGGGUAGCCGGCCUGAGAGGGUGCCGGCCACAUUGGGACUGAGAUACGGCCCAGACUCCUACGGGAGGCAGCAGUGGGAAAUAUUGCACAAUGGGCGGAAGCCUGAUGCAGCAACGCCGCGUGCGGGAUGACGGCCUUCGGGUUGUAAACCGCUUUCGCCUGUGACGAAGCGUGAGUGACGGUAAUGGGUAAAGAAGCACCGGCUAACUACGUG
rnacentral:rRNA from 1 species